CUCCGUUGCCAAGGGACUAUUUUCCUCCAUCGUCGUUUCAGAGCUGCUUUUGGAAGCGGAAGGAGAUGGAGGAUUUAAAAUGUGUUGUACACACCUGCGUAUUGUCAGCGGCUGCGUGUUGUCAUGGGAACCUGAAGGGGGGCUGAGGUCAGGGGGCGUGAGGACCAGACCACGCCCUCUGAGGGAAGAGGAUCCCACAAGCACCAAGAGUGAGUCAUAAAAUAGGCUAUGAUAUUCCAGGCGUGGAAGAAAUCCAAACCGCUGGAGACCACUCACUGAGCACCUACCUAUACAUGGUACUCCGUGCCCUGGCCCAUGCUGGGUGUUGUGGCUGACGGAACGGGAGUUUGCAGCAGUACUGGUGACGGGACUGAUUAGAAACAGCCUACCAAUCAGGGAUCGCUUUCCCCAUGGGACAUCACAUCAUGGAAUACUACACAGGCAUGAAAAGGAGCGAGGUAGGGCCAUACAUGCUAACACAGUAAGAUUUUCACAACUAAGGGAAAACAUAAGUUGCAGAAAGAAAAUGUAGAGUCUGAUUAUGUUUCUGUAAAAAUAAAAGUCAUUACAGUUCAGAAAUGCCAGUAAAUGUGCAGGAUACAAACUGGAAAGUAUAUACCAAUUUAACCAUGGUUACAUCCAAAGGAGAAAAGAGUUUCUGCAUGUGUGGGUACGUAGUUGGGGGAGGCUUUCAUUAGUUACUUUGGUGUAACGUGACAUUUUACCAUGAACAUAAUUACUUUGGUAAUCAAGAAAAUUCGGUAUUACUUUAAACAACCCAACACAAGCAGGAUUACUGGAAGAUGUGACUUGAUGUUCUCAGUUUCCAAGCACAUUGUGGAUAAGCGUUAGAUUGGUCUUGAGUUAGUAGGUUUCUUGUCCCUUUCUCUGAAGGCUAAAGCCACGUUCAAACACACACACACCUCCUUUCCCUCCGUCUUUCUACAACCACUCUCCCAUUGAGCACUAAUCAUCCACAAAAAACCAGAGUAUCUUGGCUGAGAGGCUUCUGGGAAACAAGACUUUCACACCGAGAAGAUGGCCUUGACUGAGAAGGGAAAUUGGAAGGCGAGGCUAGAGUUCAAGCUCUGCACGGCUUCUAAAGAACUCUCAAACAAACGGCCGUGUGACCGCUCUGAAGAAACCCUUCCUGUCCGAAGGUGCUCAACACCAGUGGUGAAAUGCUCUGUCAGUAAACACGCACACGCAAAGCACCACGUCACAGGAGCUCCAGGGACAUGUUUGUAUGAGGUAUCAAGAUGCUGUUGCAGAGGUCUGGGAGACUGACAGAAAUUUGCGGAACCGUAAGCCAGAAAGGGCCUCGUGAGAGAGACCACUUGAGGACAGCAGGCCGGGGUGGGGCUGGAAAGGAGCACGCCUGUCCACCUGAUGCCCUGGUGGCCUUCCACUGCCCGCUGGCAGCGGGCCUGCAGGCCCUCACUAGCUGGUGUGCAGGAGUUUGGGCUCCCGCACCUGAGAACUGCCUGGAUGUGACAGAAGUUGAUCCAAGGGACACUGUGACGCCAUGGUGGCUCAGGGGCCUCUUUGCUCCCCCCCACAAUUGCUUCAAAAGUGAGUGUCCACACCUGGAUUGCCAGCCACCUGUUCUGGACAAGCAGCAGAGAACACAGGAGAAAGCUGUGUGGACCACAUGGCUUUGGUAGAGAACCAGCGGGUGCCCGUCCAGCCACCUGGGCGUGGGGUCUGCCUGUGGCUUCUGCUGUCUAAGGCAGUGGGAGGAUGCGGGCACCGCCAGACACAAGGGCAGCCACCAGGCUGUCACCGCUUUUCCUUCCCUGUGGCACAGCUGUCCUCGGAGUGGGGGACUGAGGGAGCCAGGGAAGGCUCAUUGGUAAGACAGGUGGAGUCUGUUUACUUAACAAAUACAGCCAGCGCUUCCAUUCCAUCCUUUCAACACCAUCAGAAGCCGCCCUCAGAUCUGGACCCAAGACCCCAGAGCCCUGCCCUGCCUCAGGACGGCAGACUCAACCAUCCUCCAAGUGAAGAUGCUGUUUUUGGAAGGGGGCUUGGGGAGAGGGGAUGGGACUGGGAGGUGGAAUGGAUACAGAGGCAGGAGCAAAGGGAAUGGAAAGGGCCAGGGCACCUUCCUGAGUUCACUGGAAGUGAUGUUCACCUACCACCUCCGCCACUGGAGACUGGCCUGCUUUGGGAGGACGGAUCAGGGGUGGACAAACGCAUGUUCAAAGCAAAGCCUGGCUUUCCUGGCUUAGUCUCCUCGAAUCCGCAGCCCCUCUCCCAGGAUGAGCUCACCAUCCCCCUUCAACUCCUCCCGUCAUGAAGAGCACCCUUAAAACCUGCUCACCUCACCUCUGGGGCUUCCUGUCCCUGCCUAGAACCUGCCACGAAAGCUUUUCU